GGCUCAGAUUGAACGCUGGCGGCAGGCCUAACACAUGCAAGUCGAACGGUAACAGGAAGAAGCUUGCUUCUUUGCUGACGAGUGGCGGACGGGUGAGUAAUGUCUGGGAAACUGCCUGAUGGAGGGGGAUAACUACUGGAAACGGUAGCUAAUACCGCAUAACGUCGCAAGACCAAAGAGGGGGACCUUCGGGCCUCUUGCCAUCGGAUGUGCCCAGAUGGGAUUAGCUAGUAGGUGGGGUAACGGCUCACCUAGGCGACGAUCCCUAGCUGGUCUGAGAGGAUGACCAGCCACACUGGAACUGAGACACGGUCCAGACUCCUACGGGAGGCAGCAGUGGGGAAUAUUGCACAAUGGGCGCAAGCCUGAUGCAGCCAUGCCGCCGUGUAUGAAGAAGGCCUUCGGGUUGUAAAGUACUUUCAGCGGGGAGGAAGGGAGUAAAGUUAAUACCUUUGCUCAUUGACGUUACCCGCAGAAGAAGCACCGGCUAACUCCGUGCCAGCCGCAGC
rnacentral:rRNA from 1 species